UCUCCUGGAAACGGGUGGUAAUGCCGGAUGCUCCGGUUGGAUGCAUGUCCUUCCGGGAAAGGUUCCAUCGGUAUGGGAUGGGGUCGCGUCCUAUCAGCUUGAUGGCGGGGUAACGGCCCACCAUGGCUUCGACGGGUAGCCGGCCUGAGAGGGCGACCGGCCACAUUGGGACUGAGAUACGGCCCAGACUCCUACGGGAGGCAGCAGUGGGGAAUAUUGCACAAUGGGCGCAAGCCUGAUGCAGCGACGCCGCGUGCGGGAUGGAGGCCUUCGGGUUGUAAACCGCUUUUGAUCGGGAGCAAGCCCUUCGGGGUGAGUGUACCUUUCGAAUAAGCACCGGCUAACUACGUGCCAGCAGCCGCGGUAAUACGUAGGGUGCAAGCGUUAUCCGGAAUUAUUGGGCGUAAAGGGCUCGUAGGCGGUUCGUCGCGUCCGGUGUGAAAGCCCAUCGCUUAACGGUGGGUCUGCGCCGGGUACGGGCGGGCUGGAGUGCGGUAGGGGAGACUGGAAUUCCCGGUGUAACGGUGGAAUGUGUAGAUA
rnacentral:rRNA from 1 species